GGAUUAGAUACCCUGGUAGUCCACGCCGUAAACGAUGAGUGCUAGACGUUGGAAAUUAAUUUUUCAGUGUCGUAGUUAACGCAUUAAGCACUCCGCCUGGGGAGUACGGUCGCAAGAUUAAAACUCAAAGGAAUUGACGGGGGCCCGCACAAGCGGUGGAGCAUGUGGUUUAAUUCGACGCAACGCGAAGAACCUUACCAGCUCUUGACAUUGCUAAGUCGCGAGUUUUAGAGAUAAAACUCUUCAGUUCGGCUGGACUUAGUACAGGUGCUGCAUGGCUGUCGUCAGCUCGUGCCG
rnacentral:rRNA from 1 species